UUUUCUUCCUCGCGCAUCACAGCAACAUCCGGAUUUGCAUCAGAGAGGAAGCUCGAGUUGGAAUUCGGCUCUGGCUAGGGAUUGGCUAUUCAUGGAUAGCUGCUGCCACUAGACCCUUUGCUUCGGCUGGUUCCCUAGCUCUAGGGUCAGUAAUGGACUUCUCAUUUGGUUCGACAUGAAGCUUUGGCCAAAUUCCCAAAUAGCACUAGUUCGGUCACCAUUACCGCAGUGAACGCGCUCCGACACUGAUCAAGCAGGACUUUGUUUGGAGACAAACGCCUGGAUACGAGAUUUAUUGCGAUACAGACUACGUAUAAAGGCGGGUACCUCUUGA